rnacentral:rRNA from 1 species
CCGGCGACCGGCGCACGGGUGAGUAACACGUAUGCAACCUGCCCGUCUCAGGGGGAUAAUCGUCGGAAACGGCGUCUAAUACCCCGUAUGAAGCUGGACGGCAUCGUCUGGUUUUGAAGAAUAUCGGAGACGGAUGGGCAUGCGGCGCAUUAGCUAGUUGGCGGGGUAACGGCCCACCAAGGCGACGAUGCGUAGGGGUUCUGAGAGGAAGGUCCCCCACACUGGUACUGAGACACGGACCAGACUCCUACGGGAGGCAGCAG